AACCUUAUGGACCUGCGGGCGUAUACCUGCGGAGGGAUCAUUAACGAAUAUCUAUGGCGUUGGUUGUAGCUGGCUCCUAGGAGCAUUUUGUGCACGCCCGUCAUUCAUAUCAUCUUUCCACCUGUGAACUAUGUGUAGGCCUGGAUACCCCUCGCUUUGGCAACAAAGCGGAUGCAAGGAUUGCUGCGUCGACAAGGCCAGCUCUCUUUGAAUUUCCAGGUUCUAUGUCUUUUACACACC
rnacentral:misc_RNA from 1 species